ACUUGGUCUAUGUUGGGA
rnacentral:siRNA from 1 species